rnacentral:rRNA from 1 species
GACGAACGCUGGCGGCGUGCUUAACACAUGCAAGUCGAACGGUGACCCAGGGCUUGCCCUGGUGAUCAGUGGCGAACGGUGAGUAACACGUGGGCAACCUGCCCCUGACUUCGGGAUAACUCCUCGAAAGAGGAGCUAAUACCGGAUACGACCACUUCGGACAUCCGAUGGUGGUGGAAAGUUUUUCGGUCAGGGAUGGGCCCGCGGCCUAUCAGCUAGUUGGUGGGGUAAUGGCCUACCAAGGCGACGACGGGUAGCCGGCCUGAGAGGGCGACCGGCCACACUGGGACUGAGACACGGCCCAGACUCCUACGGGAGGCAGCAGUGGGGAAUAUUGCGCAAUGGGCGAAAGCCUGACGCAGCGACGCCGCGUGAGGGAUGAAGGCCUUCGGGUUGUAAACCGUCUUUCAGCAGGACGAAGCGAAAGUGACGGUACCUGCAGAAGAAGCACCGGCUAACUACGUGCCAGCAGCCGCGGU